rnacentral:rRNA from 1 species
UACCAGGGUUUGACAUGGCAAGAAUCUCCUUGAAAGGGGAGAGUGCCUGAAAAGGAACUUGUACACAGGUGGUGCACGGCUGUCGUCAGCUCGUGUCGUGAGAUGUAUGGUUAAGUCCCAUAACGAGCGCAACCCUUGUCUCUAGUUGUUUUCUCUAGAGAGACUGCCAGUGUAAGCUGGAGGAAGGAGAGGAUGACGUCAAGUCAGCACGCCCCUUACACCCUGGGCGACACACGUAAUACAAUGGUCGGGACAAUCUGUAGCAACCUCGCGAGAGUUCGCCAACCGGGAAAACCCGACCUCAGUUCGGAUUGUAGGCUGCAACUCGCCUGCAUGAAGCCGGAAUCGCUAGUAAUCGCCAGUCAGCUAUAUGGCGGUGAAUACGUUCUCGGGUCUUGUACACACCGCCCGUCACAUCAAGGAAGUCUGUUGAGGUCUAAGUCAUUAGUUUAACUUUUUAAGAAAACGGUGCCCAAGCUUCAGCCGAUGACCAUGAUGAAGUCGUAACAAGGUA